rnacentral:lncRNA from 1 species
CCGAUUCAGGCAGGGUGGGCGGCGGCGGUCUUAGCGCGAAGAACCCUAAGCGAAGAAUGAGGGGGCGAGCCGAGGGGAACGGGACUGGACGGCGAGGGAACGUUCCAGCAAAGGGGCGUGGCUUCUCGCUGCCCCCACGUCCGUUAGCCGAAUGUAACGGCCCAAGGCGUUACAGACGGCGCGCGAGGCGACAGCCGUUAUACUCUUGAUUUCUAGAGUUUUCUCUACCCCGUGGAGUUAUUUCGGGCGUACUCAAGCGUUUAAAUCGGAAAAUUACAGAACUAUUUCAAACUGUACUGCGUUAUAAGUUGUGUGUGUGUGUAGCUUUUAUCAAACAAUAUUUCUAUGUAGUAACUUUUUAAAAAUAAGGAUCUGGAUGGCUGUUGGGAAAAAAUUGUUUUUAAAAAGCGGUAAACAAGAUGGUAAAAAUCACCUGAAUUUGUUUCCCUCAGUCAUCUAAUGAUGCAUAUUGCGUGGUUUCAAGUUUUCUGCUAUUAUGAAUAAAGCUGUUAUGAACGUUACUGUAAAAGUCUUUUAAUGGACAUAUGUUUUCAUUUAACUUGGAUAAAUAUCCAGGAGUGGAAUUGCUGGAUCACAGGAUAGGUGUGUCCUUAAUGCUCUGACAACUUACAAUAAGUUUUUUUUUUUUUUUAAAGAUUUUAUUUUUUCCUUUUUCUCCCCAAAGCCCCCCGGUACAUAGUUGUGUAUUCUUCGUUGUGGGUUCCUCUAGUUGUGGCAUGUGGGACGCUGCCUCAGCGUGGUCUGACGAGCAGUGCUAUGUCCGCGCCCAGGAUUCGAACCGACGAAACACUGGGCCGCCUGCAGCGGAGCGCGCGAACUUAACCACUCGGCCACGGGGCCAGCCCCACAAUAAGUUUUCCAAAGUGAUUUCACCAUCGUAAAUUCCCGUAAGCAAAGUGUAAGACUUCCAUUUGCUCCACAACACUGUUGACACUUCUUAUUGUGAAUCUUUUAAAUUUCAGUCAUCUCGGUGAGUUAAAAGUGUACCUCAUUUGUAUUUCCCUGAUAACUAAUUAUGUAGUACAUCUUGUCACGUGCUUAUUGGGAAUUAGUAUAUCUUCCUUGCGAAUUGUCUGCAUGAGUCCUUUGACCAUUUUUUUUAAAGGACUUAAGUUUUUGAGAGCAUUUUUAGGUUCACAGCCAAAUUGAAGGUAUGCUCCCUGCUCCCACAUAUACAUUGUCUCCUCCGUUAUCAACUCCCCCACCAGAGAACGACGUUUGUUACAACUGACAAGCCUACAUUGACAUGUUGUUAUCACCCAGAGUCCACAGGUCACAUUAGGGUUCACUCUUUUUUUUUUUUGAGGAAGAUUAGCCCUGAGCUAACAGCUGCUGCCAAUCCUCCUCUUUUUGCUGAGGAAGACUGGCCCUGAGCUAACAUCCAUGCCCAUCUUCCUCUACUUUAUAUGGGGGACGCCUACCACAGCAUGGCGUGCCAAGCGGUACCAUGUCCGCACACGGGAUCUGAACCAGCAAACCCUGGGCCACCGAAGCGGAACGUGUGCACUUAAACACUGCACCACCAGGCCAGCCCCUAGGGUUCACUUUUGGUGUUGUACAUCUAUGGGUUUGGACAAAUCUAUAAUGACAUGUAUCCAUCAUUAUAAUUUCAUAUGGAGUACUUUCACUGCUCUAAAAAUCCUCUGUGCUCUGUCUGCCUAUUCAUCCCUCACCAAUUUCACCCCUGGCAACCACUGGUCCUUUUACUGUCUCCAUAGUUUUGCCUCUUCCAGAAUGCCAUAUAAUUGGAAUCACACAGUAUGCAGCCUUUUCAGAUUGGCUUCUUUCACUCAGUAAUAUGGAUUUAAGUUUCCUUAAUGUCUUUUCAUGGCUUGAUAGCUCCUUUCUUUUUAGCAUAGAAUAAUAUUCCAUUGUCUGGAGGUACCACAGUUUGUCCAUUCACCUACUGAAGGACAUCUUGGUUGCUUCCAAGUUUAAGCAAUUAUAAAUAAAGCUGAUAUAAACAUCCACGUGCAGUUUUUGUGUGCAUAUAAGUUUUCAGUUCAUUUGGAUAAACAUCAAGGAACAUAAUUCCUGGGUCAUAUGGUAAGGGUAUGUUUAGUUUUGUAAGAAACCACCAAACUGUCUUCCAAGGUGGCUGUACCAUUUUGCAUUCCCACCAGCAAUAAAUGAGAGUUCCUCUUGCUCCACAUCCUCGUCAGCAUUUGAGUUGUGAGUGUUCUGGAUUUUGGUCAGUCUAAUAGGUGUGUAACAGUUUUAAUUUGCAGUCCUUUGAGGAUGUAUGAUAUGGAGUACUUUUUCAUAUAGUAAUUUGCAAUCUUUAUAUCUCCUAGGUAAGGUAUCUGUUAAGGUCUUUUGCCUAUUUCUUCAUUGGGUUGUUUUGUUAUUGUUGAAUUUUAAGAGUUCUUGGUAUAUUUUGGAUAACAGUGCUUUAUCAGAUGUGUCUUUUGCAAAUAUUUUCUCCAAACCUGUGGCUUGUCUUCUCAUUCUCUUGAUAUUGUCUUUAAUAGAGCAGAAGGUCUUAAUUUUAAUGAAGUCCAGCUCUUCAAUUAUUUCUUUCAUGAAUCAUACCUUUGGUGUUGUACCUAAAAACUCAUCACCAUACCCGAGGUCAUCUAGUUUUUCUCGUAUGUUAUCUUGUAGGAGUCUUAUACUUUUGCAUUUUACAUUUAGAUCUAUGAUUCAUUUUGAGUUAAUUUUUGUGAAGGGUGUGAGAUCUAUGUCUAGCUUCAGUUUUUUGGAUGUGGAUGUCCAGUUUUCCAGCACCAUUUGCUGAAGAGACUAUCUUUGCCCCAUUGUAUUGCCUUUGCUCCUUUGUCAAAGACCAGUUGACUAUGGUCAGAUCAUUUAUGGGAGUCUAUUUCUAGGCUCGCUGUUCUGUUCCAUCUGGUGGUCUGGUGGUUAAGAUUCAACAGUGUCACCACGGCAGCCUGGUUCACUUCCUGGUCAGGGAACCAUACCACCUGUCUGUUGGUUGUCAUACUGUGGUGGUUGCGUGUUGCUGUGAUGCUAAAAGCUAUGCCACCAGUAUUUCAAAUACCAGCAGGGUCACUAAUGGUGGACAGGUUUCAGUGGAGCUUCCAGACCAGACAGACUAGGAAGAAGGACCUGGCCGCCCACUUCCAAAAAAACUGGCUAUGAAAACUCUAUGAAUAACAGCAGAGCACUGUCUGAUAUAGCGCCAGAAGAUGUGAGGAUGGUGCAAAAGGACUGGGCAGAGUGCUGCUCUGCUGUCCACACAGUCGCUAGGAGCUGGAAUCGACCCAACAGCACUAACAAAAGCAAUUCUACAGAUCUACUAGUCUAUUCUUUUACCAAUACCACACUGUCUUGACUACUGUAGCUUAAUGGUAAGUCUUGAAUUCAGGUAGUAUCAGUCCUCUGACUUUGUUCUUUUCCUUCAAUAUUGAGUUGGCUAUUCUGUGUCUUUUGCUUCUCCAUAUAAACUUUAGAAUCAGUUUGUCCAUAGCCACAAAAUAACUUGAUGGGAUUUUGAUUGAGAUUUCAUUGAGUCUAUAGGUCAAGUUGGGAAGGACUGACAUCUUGACAAUGCUGAGUCAUCCUAUCCAUGAACAUGGAAUAUCUCUCCAUUUAUUUACUUCUUUGGUACCUUUCUUCAGAGUUUUGUAGUUUUCUUCAUAUAGAUCUUGUACAUAUUUUGUUAGAUUUACUCCCAAAUAUUUCACUGUUGGGGGUGCUAAUGUAAAAGCUAUUGUGUUUUUAAUUUCAAAUUUCACUUGUUCAUUGCUGGUAUAUAGAAAAGUGAUUGACUUUUGUAUAUUAACCUAUAUCCUGCAACCUUGCUAUAACUGCUUAUUAGUUCCAGGUUUUCUGGGUCAAUUCUUUUAACUAAAAAGAUUGAAUCAGUAAUCAAAAACUUUCCAAGAAAGAAAAAUCUAGCAAAAUAUGGCUUCACUGGUGAAUUCUACUAGAUGUUUAAAGAAGAAUUAAUGCCGAUGUUUCUCAAAGCCUUCAAAAAAUAAAAGAAAGAGCACACCUUAACUCAUUCUAUGAUGUUAGCAUUAUCCUGAUAUCAAAGCCAGACAAAGCCAUCACAAUAAAAUAAGACUAUAGACCAAUACACCUUACGAAUAUAGAUGUAAAAAUCCUCAACAAAAUACUAGCAUGCCAAACUCAGCAGCAUAUUUAAAAGAUUAUACACCAUGACCAAACAGGAUUUACCCCAGGAAUGCAAGUGUUGUUCAACAUAUGAAAAUCAACCAAUGUAAUACGCCACAUUAAUAGAAUGGAAGAAAAAGACCAGAAAAUCAUCCUAAUCAAUGUAGGAAAAAAAAUCUUCUUUCACAAAAUUCAACCUCUUUUCAUGAUUAAAAAAACACUCAGAAAAUCAGGAAUAGACGAGAACUUCCUCAACAUGAUAAAGGGCAUACAUGAAAAGCCCACAGCUAACAUACAUACUCAGUGGUGAAAGACUAAAAACUUUUCUUCUUACUUAGAUGAGGAGCAAGAAAAGGAUGUCUCUUUUCACUACUGCUAUUCAACAUUACUGGAAGUUCUAGCCAGAGCAAUUAGGCAAGAAAAGUAGUAAAAGGCAUCCAUAUUGGAAAAGAAGAAGUAAAACUCUCUCUACACACAGAUGGCAUGAUUCCAUAUAUAGAAAACCCAAAGAAAGCACAAAAAUACUACUAGAAAUAACACUCUUCAUCUAUCUCUAAACCAGGAACUUACAAAUUCUCACUUGUGUUAUGGGAACAUUCCAAAACAUCUUUUCCAAUUCAAGUUAAAAACAAGAAUUUCUUUAUGAAGUUCCCCUAAAACAGAUCCUAAAAAUGCCCACAGUCCUUCCAAUGCCACCUGCCCUAGAAGUGUGAUUGGAAAGAAACAGAAAUCUAAAUCAACUGCAGUUAAAAUAUUAUAGUUUUGAAAUGUUUAUAAAAACGUUUCAGCUUGUGAAUCCAUUACUAGAGCUUCUCUCAGCACUUGAGAAAGUGCCCUCAUAAAUGAUGGCCCCUGGAGCUUAAGCUGUGGCGGCUUCAUGGUAAGUUCACCUCUGCAUCCGUCAAUCAUUCAUUUAUUCAUCAAAUAUUUACUAUCUAAACUAGAGGGGACAGUGAUGAAAAUGUCAUUGCCUACAAUUCUGACGUGGCGUUGUUGUAGAUGAAAUGUCUGCACGUUCUGUGUCAUUGGUAGGUCUGUCUGUCCUCACAGUACCACACUGUCACUGUUGCUCUAAUAAUUCUUCGUAUUUGGCAUAUGAAGAAAUAUUCCCACCUUGUUUUUCUUCAAGAUUGUAUUGGCUAUCUUUUUGCUUUUCCAUACAAAUUUUGGAAUUAGUUUAUUAAUUUCAUAACAGAUCCUAUUGAUAUUUUUAUUUCAUUGCAUGGAGUCUAUAGAUCAAUUUGGGGAGAAUUAACAUCUUUAAAAUUGAGUCUUCCACUCCAUGAAUAUAGUAUAUCCAUCUCUCCAUUUAUUUAUUUAUUUUUUUUUUUUUUUGAGGAAGAUUAACCCUGGGCUAACUACUGCCAAUCCUCCUUUUUGCUGAGGAAGACUGGCCCUGAGGUAACAUCCAUGCCCAUCUUCCUCUACUUUAUAUGUGGGACGCCUACCACAGCAUGGCUUGCCAAGCAGUGCCAUGUCUGCACCUGGAUCUGAACUGGCGAACCCUGGGCCGCUGAGAAGCGGAACAUGCGAACUUAACCUCUGCACCACUGGGCCGGCCCCUUAUUUGUCUUUUAAAAUUUGUUGAUAUGUUACAUAUAUUUGUUUUGUUUAGAA